AUUGAACGCUGGCGGCAUGCCUUACACAUGCAAGUCGAACGGUAACAGGUCUUCGGAUGCUGACGAGUGGCGACCGGGUGAGUAAUACUUCGGAACGUGCCCCGACGUGGGGGAUAACGGGGCGAAAGCUUUGCUAAUACUGCAUACGAUCUCAGGAUGAGAGCUGGGGACUGCAAGGCCUUGUGCGCUUUGAGCGGCCGAUGGCAGAUUAGGUAGUUGGUGGGAUAAAAGCUUACCAAGCCGACGAUCUGUAGCUGGUCUAAGAGGACGACCAGCCACACUGGGACUGAGACAUGGCCCAGACUCCUACGGGAGGCGGCAGGGGGGAAUUUUGGACAAUGGGCGAAAGCCUGAGCCAGCAAUGCCGCGUGCAGGAUGAAGGCCUUCGGGUUGUAAACUGCUUUUGUACGGAACGAAAAGGCUCUGGCUAAUACCUGGAGCACAUGACGGUACCGUAAGAAUAAGCACCGGCUAACUACGUG
rnacentral:rRNA from 1 species